ACUUGCCUACGGGAGGCAGCAGUGGGGAAUAUUGGGCAAUGGGCGCAAGCCUGACCCAGCGACGCCGCGUGAGGGAAGACGGUCUUCGGAUUGUAAACCUCUUUCAGCAGGGAAGACAAAAGGACGGUACCUGCAGAAGAAGCCACGGCUAACUACGUGCCAACAGCCGCGGUCAUACGUAGGUGGCAAGCGAUAUCCGGAAUUACUGGGUGUAAAGGGUGUGUAGGCGG
rnacentral:rRNA from 1 species